ACAGGACCGCACGCGAAACGUGAAGACGCGCACAGUAGUCAGUUGAUUGACGUAGCUAGCUAAUGGCGGCGAAACACAAAUAAAUAAAUACACACAAAGUCAACAGCCAAAACAACUGGCAGGUCACAGUUUGUCAGUUAAACCGGAGCUUGUCCACAAUAACGAUACACUAACGGCCAGGCAGCAUAGGAGACUGGAGGGCUGUUUGAGAGGAGAGGGAUAGUCAUACUUAUGCAGCUUACGGAAGACCUGUAACGUUAACUGCAUCAUUCCACAGCCUUGCAAGGGCUGAGUCGAGGCUCCAGCAGCGUGGUUGAUCCUCCCUAGGUGGGUUGAUGGCCUCGUCCUUCAGCAGCUCGGACGCCGAGCUCCGCAGGGCAGGGUUCUUCUCCAGGGCUCUUUCCAGGAAGGAGCGCAUGGCCGGGCUGCAGUCAUCAGCUAUGUCCUCAAGAGGGGGGGCUUGCUUAUGGAUCUGUUGGGAGAGAGAUAAGGCAAAAAUUGGCAUAAGAAAACUGCAGCAUGAGAGAAAAAAAUAUUAAAUUACAAAGACAGUCAAUGCUUCCAAAUAACUAACAAACAAAACAACACAUGUAUAUAUUAAGGCUGAACGAUAAAUUGUUUUCAAAUCGAAAUCACGAUUUAAAAGAAUGCGAUUAGCUAAUCGUGAAGACCGCGAUAAAUCGAAUGUGCAAUAUUUAGUCAAA